UCCGUUAUGGUGCAACGGCUAGCAUACCUCGCUUUCAUAUGGAAGCGCCGAGGAGGCCGGGGUUCGACUCCCCGUAACGGAA
rnacentral:tRNA from 1 species